UCAAACAAUGUGUAGUUUCAGUGCCUAUUAUUGUGCAGGUAUAUAAAGGCCCUGGUUAUGGUCACAAAACAGUCAGUCCACGGCUGAAUUUCAGACAAGAAACCUGUGUUGGUUAGAACAACAAUAAUACAUCAACUUAAUAGUGAAAUAAGUGUAACAAAAAUAGGUCCUGUGUUAAAACAAUGACAAUGUCUGUUAAAUGUAUUUGAAAGACAUUGAACUUUAUGGUUAGGUUAUUACUGCUUGUAGAUGUUCAACAGUAAACUGUUGUAGUAGUAUGUGGAUGUUUGCCUGCAAAUUAAUGUUAUUUGUAAUAAUUAUAUGUUGAGUACUAUAUCUAAUGCGAUUAAUCAGAAAAUUUAUGACAAUUAUUCAGGGCACUUAUUACAUUGUUGAAUUUUGUAUCUAUUGUUGCUACAUGACAUUGGAUUGUUGACUUAUUGCAGGUAUCAAUGUGCAGAGUACAGCGUACAGGAAAGGACCUGUUCAGUGGCAUUCUUGCGUGUAACUGGUGUAAUACUUUUUCGCUUUGAUUAACAGUUUUGUAAUAUCGACAUCACAACUGAUUGUUUAACAGCCAGAUAUUACUAAUUGUGACCUUUAAAAAUGGGUAAAGGAGGAGACAUUUCACCACAUAAAAAAGCUGGGGUCAAAGCCCUCAUUAAUACAAAAAUGUAUUCCAGUCGGGAAAUUUCACGAAGGUUUGAAGCAUAAGGCGCAUAAAGAAGAAAAUUGAUUGAGGUGAAGAACUGAGCCAUAGAAGGAAGAGUAAAUGUGGAAGAAAACUAAUUUUCACCCCAAGGUCAGAGAGACUUCUCAAAAGAAUAUCCCUAGAAAACAGAUUUGCAACAACAAAACAGUUAAAAUCUCAACUGGAAGAGGCUAAUGUGAAUACAUCUGAAUGCACUGUUCACAGAAAGUUGAAGGAUACUGAUUUCAACGCCUGUCAACCCACUAAGAAGCCAAAGUUAACAGCCACAAUGAAAGCAAAGUGUCUGAAGUGGUCCAAGCAGUGGUGUAAUAAGGAUGUGGACUUCUGGAGAUUGGUAUGCUCUAUCGAUGAAAUCACGUUUGAAAUUUUAACUAACAAAUCUCAGAAUGUGUGGUUUCAAACAGGAGAAAAAAUUCAUCCAAAUUGCAUUAUUCAAACCCUAAAACAUGCAACUAAGGUGAUAUUUGGUCUGUCAUCUGUGGCAAGGGUACAGGACGUCAUUAUGUGGUUAAAGGCAUAAUGAGGCAGGACCAGUACAAGAAAGUCCUACAAAAACGGUUAAUACCACAGCUCAGAGAAUGGUUCCUGAAUGGAGAACCAUUUAUUUUUAUGCAGGGUGGAGCUCCCUGUCACACAGCCAGGUUAGUUAAAUCCUUUCUGAAGGAACAAAAUAUCCCUCUGUUAGACUGGCCAGGUAACAGUCCCAACAUGAACCACGUAGAAAAUGUAUGGGAACUAAUGAAGAGGGCUAAAGAUGUCAAUACAACAAAAACAAAGCUCCUAGAAAAGAUUAUCCUUGUGUGGUAUCAUCAUCCACAAAUGCAGGACACAGUACAGUCCUGCAUUGACGGCAUGCCACGUUGUAUUAAGGCUCUUGUAGCUGCAGAAGGUGGCUCAACAAAGUAUUAAAACUAAUGUUUUCACUUUUACAAUAUUUUAAUUUUUCUUGUAAUUAUUGAAAUAAAAUAUUUUCAACAAA